UCAGCCUGCCCACCGCUUUUUCUGCCGCAGGAGCGGUCCCCCGUCUCAGAUGAUUGUCCUGGCACUGGCAGAUGACCUAAGUAGGUAAUAAACAGAUAAAGAAGAGAGACUUGGAAAUUCCAUGGCAUCACUUCUUAUGGAACUUUUGAUGUUCCCCAUGGCUUCUAAAGGAAAUAACAGAGGGCACUGGGAGGCACUGAGAUACUUUGAAGAC
rnacentral:lncRNA from 1 species